rnacentral:lncRNA from 1 species
UCCCCCCAAACUUAAGUUGUUAUCAAAAUUUAGCCAUCUCCGCUUAUUCAUGUCUUUCAUUCCUUCAAACUAGUAUUAUCCUUAAAAAAUCCAUUAUGUAUCAAUUUAAACUUAAUCAGUUAACAUAGCUGUUAUUAACGUGCUAACCUUGAUUAUACCAGUUUCAAACAGGAAAAGAUUCAAUUCAUAACAAGAAAUCACAUCAAAGCCUGAAUAUUCAAUACUAUACUUAUCUACUUAACUCCAG